GGACUACUGGGGUAUCUAAUCCUGUUCGCUCCCCACGCUUUCGCGUCUCAGCGUCAGUACCGUACUAGAGAGCCGCCUUAGCCACGGGUGUUCUUCCUGAUAUCUGCGCAUUUCACCGCUACACCAGGAAUUCCACUCUCCUCUUCCGGACUCUAGCCAGAUGGUUUCCAUCGGCGUCUCGAGGUUGAGCCUCGAGUUUUCACAACAGACCUAUCUGGCCGCCUACACGCUCUUUACGCCCAAUAAAUCCGGACAACGCUUGCCCCCUACGUAUUACCGCGGCUGCUGGCAC
rnacentral:rRNA from 1 species